AGUUUGUGGUUAAAAGACGAAACUCGAUUUGAGUCACUCAACUCAGCACAAAGAAAUGGCGGCGACGAGAGUCAUGGCAUCGGCGGGUAACGCCGUCUCCACGCCUCAAAGCCUCAAUCUCUGCUUCAGAAACGGCAGGUUGCUCUCGCAGAAAAAACGCCUCUUCUUCGUCCACGAUUCUGGCAAAAAGCUGAUGCUAAGCGUUGUACCUUCCUUCCCUUGUGCACACCGGAGCCGCCGCUUUACCACUGCGGUCCGGGCAGAGUCCACCAAUGGCUCUGAGCCAUCUGCACCAUACGACUUCGACCUCUUCACUAUCGGUGCUGGCAGCGGAGGUGUUAGAGCCUCUCGCUUCGCAGCCAAUUUUGGAGCUAAAGUUGCGGUUUGCGAGCUGCCGUUUGCUACCAUAUCAUCCGACUCUGCUGGAGGCGUUGGUGGCACGUGCGUGCUCCGUGGAUGUGUUCCUAAGAAACUCCUUGUAUAUGCAUCCAAAUUUUCUCAUGAAUUUGAAGAGAGUGGUGGAUUUGGAUGGAGUUAUGAGGCAGAACCUAAACAUGAUUGGAGCACCUUGAUUGCAAAUAAGAAUGCUGAACUUCAGCGCCUUGUCGGGAUUUACAAAAACAUAUUGAAAAAUUCUGGAGUCAUGCUACUCGAAGGACGUGGCAAGAUUGUGGAUCCACAUACAGUGGACGUAGAUGGAAAACUCUAUUCAGCAAAGAACAUUCUUAUUGCAGUUGGAGGGCGCCCAUUCAUUCCUGAUAUUCCUGGAAGUGAAUAUGCAAUAGAUUCUGAUGCUGCCCUUGAUUUACCUUCAAAGCCUAAGAAAAUUGCUAUAGUUGGGGGUGGUUAUAUCGCAGUUGAGUUUGCUGGUAUCUUCAAUGGAUUUAAGAGCGAUGUCCAUGUAUUCAUAAGACAGAAAAAGUUGUUGAGAGGAUUUGAUGAAGAGGUCAGAGACUUUCUUGGCGAACAAAUGUCAUUAAGGGGUAUUAAUAUCCACUCUGAGGAGACACCUCAAGCUAUAGUUAAGUCAUCAGAUGGGUUACUGUCUGUGAAAACAAACCAAGGAACAGUUGAUGGGUUUACUCAUGUCAUGUUUGCAACAGGACGAAAACCAAAUACGAAGAAUUUAGGUUUAGAAGCUGUCGGAGUGAAUUUGUCAAAAAAUGGAGCUAUAGAGGUUGAUGAAUUCUCUCGAACUUCUGUUCCAUCAAUUUGGGCGGUAGGAGAUGUUACUGACAGAAUAAAUUUGACCCCAGUUGCCUUAAUGGAAGGAGGAGCACUAGCAAAAACUCUAUUUGCAAAUGAACCCACAAAACCUGAUCACAGUGCUGUGCCAUGCGCGGUCUUUUCUCAGCCUCCUAUCGGGCAAGUUGGUCUUACUGAAGAUCAGGCAGUGAAGGAAUAUGGUGAUAUUGAUAUUUAUACAUCAAAUUUCAGGCCUCUAAAGGCCACCCUUUCUGGCCUGCCGGAUCGGGUCUUCAUGAAACUUAUUGUAUGUGCGAAAACUAACAAAGUCAUCGGUCUGCAUAUGUGUGGUGAAGAAUCAGCAGAAAUUGUCCAGGGAUUUUCUGUUGCUGUGAAAGCUGGGUUGACUAAGGCUGAUUUUGAUGCAACAAUUGGUAUCCACCCAACUGCAGCAGAGGAAUUUGUCACCAUGAGAACACCUACGCGGAAGAUCAGAAGUGCUCCAUCUGAGGGAAAAUCAGAUUCUGAUGCCAAAGCUGUUGCUGGUGUUUAAUUCGAGUUUAUGCAACGAAAAACUGCUGCAUCGAAGGAUAUACAUGUAUGGGGCCCGAUGAGGCGAUGAAUCUGGACCUAGCAAGAUCCGGGCCAUUGCCAUCCUCGAGUCUCACUUUCAGAGAUUAUUAGCUGCUUGAGAUUUUAACUUGUCUACGAUUUCGUGUUGGCAGUAAUCCACACCGGGCCAGUCGAGUGACCUCAGUCGUUGCCCUUCUCCGGACAGCUGUGCAAAGCUAGAAUGAGUAUAUUGCAUAUGCAGUUGAUGAAAGAGACGAAGCAAAAGCGGCUGUAAAAAAAUGUGUUUCUUCUGUUCACCUUCUUGCAUAGAUGCGAUUUCUCAUUGGUUUUGUUUAGUAUGUUUAUUUAAUAUUUAUGGGUUUGUUUGAUAGAAUCUUAUUAUAAGAGUUUGAGACUUUUCGAUGCCAAAAAUCAACUUUGCUUCCGUAA